UACGUGAAACCGUUUAGGGGUAAACCUGAGAAACCCGAAAGGUCGAAGGAAGAAAUUCAAUCGUGCCCGAUGAGGUUAUUGUGCGAUUAAGGUGUUCGAAAAAUGUGUGUUGAUUUCGGUCAAUUUCGCAUUGUUCGCCCAAUUGUAUGAUAUAUGUACCUUGUUGGACGCGUGCACUUUUCUUCUGGUAGGACGUUGCGAUCCGUUGGGUGUUGAUCUACGGUUCAGAUGGUAGACCUUGUCUUGUAUGCUUCUCGUAAGUUGUACGUGAUAAGGACCUUUGUAACCUGGUCAACUGGCUCGACGGUAGAUUUUUAUGGUUUUAGGCCGCUUAUUGUAAGCGUUCGGCUUGUGGCAAGCACGUCAAUAUUGUUGGUACAUCGGACCUAGUGCCGUGUCUGACACUUGAUGUCUGUUGGCUACUUUGUCUCGAACAGACCGUUUAUAAAACCAAUCUGCGACGAUAUAGUUUUGGGUACUUUCAGGACCCGUCUUGAAACACGGACCAAGGAGUCUAGCAUGUACGCAAGUCAUUGGGAAUUACAAAACCUAAAGGCAUAAUGAAAGUAAAUGUUUAUCUUUACGAUAGACGAUGGGAAGACGAGUAUAAUAUUAUUUUAAUAUGUAUUCUGCAUUCCUGGGGCGUCUCAUUCUCAUUACGAGAAGAGGCGCACCAUGAGCGUACACGCUGGGACCCGAAAGAUGGUGAACUAUGCCUGGUCAGGA
rnacentral:rRNA from 1 species